rnacentral:rRNA from 1 species
GGCUCACCAAGACCGUGAUGCAUAGCCGACCUGAGAGGGUAAUCGGCCACACUGGGACUGAGACACGGCCCAGACUCCUACGGGAGGCAGCAGUAGGGAAUCUUCCACAAUGGACGAAAGUCUGAUGGAGCAACGCCGCGUGAGUGAAGAAGGUUUUCGGAUCGUAAAACUCUGUUGUUGGAGAAGAAUGUAUCUGAUAGUAACUGAUCAGGUAGUGACGGUAUCCAACCAGAAAGCCACGGCUAACUACGUGCCAGCAGCCGCGGUAAUACGUAGGUGGCAAGCGUUGUCCGGAUUUAUUGGGCGUAAAGCGAGCGCAGGCGGUUUCUUAAGUCUGAUGUGAAAGCCUUCGGCUCAACCGAAGAAGUGCAUCGGAAACUGGGAAACUUGAGUGCAGAAGAGGACAGUGGACUCCAUGUGUAGCGGUGAAUGCGUAGAUAUAUGGAAGAACACCAGUGGCGAAGGCGGCUGUCUGGUCUGUAACUGACGCUGAGG